UGGGGAAUAUUGGACAAUGGGGGAAACCCUGAUCCAGCCAUGCCGCGUGUGUGAAGAAGGCCUUCGGGUUGUAAAGCACUUUAAGCGAGGAGGAAGGUUCGUUGGUUAAUAACCAGCGGAAUUGACGUUACUCGCAGAAUAAGCACCGGCUAACUCUGUGCCAGCAGCCGCGGUAAUACAGAGGGUGCAAGCGUUAAUCGGAAUUACUGGGCGUAAAGCGCGCGUAGGCGGUUGUGUAAGUUGGAGGUGAAAUCCCCGGGCUUAACCUGGGCACUGCCUUCAAAACUGCACGGCUAGAGUAUGGGAGAGGAAGGUAGAAUUCCAGGUGUAGCGGUGAAAUGCGUAGAGAUCUGGAGGAAUACCGAUGGCGAAGGCAGCCUUCUGGCCUAAUACUGACGCUGAGGUGC
rnacentral:rRNA from 1 species